CGGGUGUAGCUCAGCUGGUUAGAGUGCCGGCCUGUCACGCCGGAGGUCGCGGGUUCGAGCCCCGUCACUC
rnacentral:tRNA from 1 species